GACUCUAGCAAAGAUCAAACGGUAUUCCUGAGUGAAUAAUAAAAAUGAGUCCAUUCUAUUAUUGCUCGAGAAUACCCUUUGACAAGCUGAAAAGUG
rnacentral:pre_miRNA from 18 species